rnacentral:snoRNA from 1 species
GGCCUUCAGAUUCCUAACCACUCAGACUUAAAUACUGGUCUGAGUGGUUAUAACAGGAGGACAAAUAACAUUGAAAUUGAAUUAAAUUGUUUUGUGACACAGAAGCUAGGUUCAAACAAAG